UACGUAGGGGCUAGCGUUGUCCGGAAUUAUUGGGCGUAAAGGGCUCGUAGGCGGUUGUCGCGUCGGGAGUGAAACACGGGCGUUAACCCGUGCCUGCUUCCGAUACGGGCAGACUAGAGGUGAUGCAGGGGAGAACGGAAUUCCUGGUGUAGCGGUGAAAUGCGCAGAUAUCAGGAGGAACACCGGUGGCGAAGGCGGUUCUCUGGGCAUUACCUGACGCUGAGGAGCGAAAGUGUCGGGAGCGAACAGG
rnacentral:rRNA from 1 species